AUUGAACGCUGGCGGCAUGCCUUACACAUGCAAGUCGAACGGCAGCACGGGUGCUUGCACCUGGUGGCGAGUGGCGAACGGGUGAGUAAUACAUCGGAACAUGUCCUGUAGUGGGGGAUAGCCCGGCGAAAGCCGGAUUAAUACCGCAUACGAUCUACGGAUGAAAGCGGGGGACCUUCGGGCCUCGCGCUAAAGGGUUGGCCGAUGGCUGAUUAGCUAGUUGGUGGGGUAAAGGCCUACCAAGGCGACGAUCAGUAGCUGGUCUGAGAGGACGACCAGCCACACUGGGACUGAGACACGGCCCAGACUCCUACGGGAGGCAGCAGUGGGGAAUUUUGGACAAUGGGCGAAAGCCUGAUCCAGCAAUGCCGCGUGUGUGAAGAAGGCCUUCGGGUUGUAAAGCACUUUUGUCCGGAAAGAAAUCCUUGGCCCUAAUACGGUCGGGGGAUGACGGUACCGGAAGAAUAAGCACCGGCUAACUACGUG
rnacentral:rRNA from 1 species